CGCAAGUGUGGGCGAGAGGCGGCGGUAAAGCAGGGAGUGCGAACGGUGGUCGUAAUUAGUGGGCUGAAAGCGCGCGGAGGCGGCGCGGCAAGUGUUGGGGGAAAUCCCACGGCGUACGCGUGGAACUGCCUGGCAGACUGCGGGGCGAGAGGAUGGUAGGGGAGAGCGGAACUCCGGGUGGAGCGGUGAAAUGCGUAGAUAUCAGGAGGAACACCGGUGGCGAAGGCGGCUCUCUGGUCCAUGACUGACGCUGAGGUGCGAAAGCUAGGGGAGCAAACGGGAUUAGAUACCCGGGUAGUC
rnacentral:rRNA from 1 species